CCACGUGGCACUCAGUAAUGAUUUACUCUUUGUCGUUAAUUUGAGAUUAUUGUGAUUUAGUCACACGUGUGGGUCGGGUUUGAAAUUUGAAUGGAUAUGGAGAUGGUUACUGUCUAUCACUGUUACGGGAUAGGGCGAUGCAUUUGCAUUAUAUGCGGCUUAUUGGUCCCGCCUCCGAAAGGGACCUUUAGGUAAUUUCGCGAGCUUACUUAUUCACGAAGCAUUGCUUCGAGUGUCGUGCAGGCAUCUUAUCAUCUUCUCUGGCGUUGUUUAGUACUCUCGCUUUAUUUGUAGUUGUUGCUAUUAUCUCCCCCAUUCGACCAUUAGAAGGUUAUUCGAUCGGCGAUAAGAAAUUAUUCUCCGUUGUAUCACCUUUAGGUUAGUCAAUCUGUCUUCAUGGCUACUCAACAAGGAAGUCUGGAUUCCUUCUUUAUUGAUUUCGUCAGACAGGUUGACAUUGUGUCAUUGCAAAUAGAGAGGGAAGUAGCUUUGGCGGUCGAUGGUGGCAGGGAUUUUUGGCCUCCUAUUCUUGUAUCAUGAGGGGAAAAUGGUUCAUCUGAUGUUGUUGUUGGUACCGAGUUGAUGUGUCUCUACGAAACAACGAAGGUUUCCAUGUCCUAAAAAUGCCAGUAGCCAUGGACCGAUGCGUCAAAGUCUCUGACCAAUUAUACUACUUGGACGCGAUUCAAUUUGGAAAAUCCACUGUAUUGCCAGACGCUUCAGGAUGCUAGGCUUUUAAGGUUUGUAAACUGCUACACUGGUCUUCCAGGCCGGGACGGUGUUAAGUAUGUAGGGCACCUGCUGAAUCAUUGGUGUUCGCGUACACAUACUUUCGGGUGCGUUUGGUGAAUUUACUAUUAUGAUGGAGGAUGUGGUGGCAUUGUUAGCAUUGUUGGUUGGGGGUGCGAUAUUUGCAAAGCAUUUGCAACAUAUAGAGUUCAUCCCGCCGAAGUGGAAGGAGCUGUAUGAUCCUCUUCGCGGGGCAAAAUGCCAUUGGAUCAAUGGAUGGCCUACUAGUUCGAGUGUCGCGGCGAUGGGAAUGUCGUGGUACGAGGUGCAGGAUCUCAUUGCCACCUUGUUGCCUAUAUUCUAUAUGUGGCCUCCCGCUUCUUGUUCCCAGGGAUGCUGGACUUCGUCCGCACCGUUCUGAUCCCCCUGGCCGUCUUUGCUGCUAGCAGCUGAAUGACCCUAGUUACAGGAGGCACGUGAAUUACGUCUUCACUCCGUUUAUUUGGAUGUUCAUCUGUGAACACUUUGAGCUCAAUGUGAGGCUACGAACACUUCAUCCUCUCUAACUUCAAAUUGCUACUCUCAAUGGUGAUAAAUCGGGGGAGAAGGUUUUGGAAGUGUGCUGGGGAAAUGGAGGCUUCACGCAAAGAGGCGCAAAAAUUUUAAAAUGACCAUAUGCUCGCAUGGUCCGCCAUGCCGUGCCUGUCCCAAAGGGUGGGGAUAACUAGUGUGCUCUUGAGAUGGGAAGUGCUAUUGUGAGAAUGGCGCGAGUAAUUUUGUGGCUUGGGGUUAUUGCAACUCUUUGUCUAUCAUCCGGAUCGGGUGCUCCGACAAUUUGGGUACGACGACAUAGGCGCCCAGUUUUUGAGAAACCUUGGAGAAGACGUAUUUUGGGUUCGGUGUCACAGUCGAGUGUUCCCGGGGUGUACUCGGUUUCCAAUUGCUGGUUAUGGCAGAAUGCAAGUGUGUAAGUCACUCCAUCUGUCAUACCUCUGCUCACUGCUUGUCGGGUUCCAGGAAUUAUUGUGGGCGAACGCAUGAUCCCACCAUGUGUCGGUCCCUCCCCCAGGCCAUGCUGCUUGCCGAGGGGUGGGAAUAGCUCUUCUCCACUCUAAUUCAUUGGAGAGGUCGCCGUCCAAGCGUGAUGGGAAAUGACCGGUUAUCGAGGGUACAGGUUGUAGUCCCACUCCUCUGGUGAAGAGGGCUAGGUCUGCAAGGGUGCUUCGCUCCUUUGAUCCUAGCAGUGUACCAUCGCCUUCUGAUGCGGCUCCAAUAUAGGUUCGUUAAGGUGAUCACAGUUCUCCGGCCCCAAUGUUAUGGGUGGGUCUGUAGCGAGUCGGGAUGUUUCGAUGACAGCCCUCGGGAGUAGUGUUGGAGCCUACAGAGCUUGCGGAUGUGUCACCCUCCCCUGGUGGUGUUAUGAUUCGCUUCUCAAGCAGGUGAUUAAAGAAAAGGGCUUCCCGUCGGCCAAGGCGGAGUCUGAAGAAUGACGAGUCAAUAAGUUUUGUUGAAUGUUUGUAUGAUUACUAAACUAUGAUUAGACGAAAUUGUGCUACCUUUGCUAAGUGUGGAUCCUAUCACAACCUGUUGUGAAUGAAGGCGGUCAAGUCAUUGUAGGCGAUCAAGCAGUUCGUGUGGAAUCGUCCAGUAGGGUUCCGAUAACGACUCCAGGUGGGCGAGGACUGAUUGUGAGACGGUCUUUGUCUUUGAAGCGGGUUGAUCGCAAUGUGGCAGAUUCUAACAGGGACGAGGUGGACUUAGAGGUGAGAAGCAAUUUGAGAUUCAUUGGUUCGUGUAUGGUUCUGGUGCUCUGACUGCUUGGGUAUGUCUUUAUCACAGGCUCUCUUAUCUAAGUUUCCCCUUGGGGAGUCCAACACACCCUUUUUUCGGCGUCUAGUUGAGGAACUAAGGGUGAUGUAGCCCCCGCAAUCGAGCCCAUGGUGACUGGAAUUAGUACCGUCAUGAGUACCAUGGCUAAUACUGCCCCCCACACUACUCCUCAAGUGUCCGACGGCCAAGAUUUAUCGUGUUUCUGUUCCAUAAAAGUGGAUCGGAUGACUCAGUUGGGGUCUGACGUGGUGGUGGUGACACAGUGUGAAGACGCGCAUGGGAAGGUUUCUAUGGAAUCCUUGUCUCAUGAUGAUGUAGGUAACUCUUCCGAGGUGUUUACCCACAGUCUGUUUGCGAUGAUACACUAAUAGCUAACUUUUUCGAAGACAAGGAAUACUACUAAGGGAAUGAGGACGCAGAGGGGAAGUUUGCUUCCCCCUCGGAGGUGUUGUACGAGGAAAAUUUAGACCAAAUAUGGCAACAACUGUUGGGAUACCACGAGAAUCACGAUAUCCCGUUAAUGCACUUCCUAGUGAUGGAUCUUGUGUAUGUUCAAGGUAAGGAGGUGCAUUAUAGCAUCUCCAGUACGGUUGCCCAAUUUGCUUCUACCAUGAUUUGUUCGGAUCAGUUGCUAGAAGGUGGGUCUGGCCUUGAACGACUUUAUCCGUACGGUUGCCCAAUUUGCUUCUACCAUUGAUCAGCCUCGUAAUGUGUCGCCCACUGGAAGAGUUGUCGUGAGCGGACUUUGCCUACUGGUUUGAAGCGUGUCGUGCUUUUUCAUCGAUGGGCUUCUUUAUGAAUGAUGUCAAAUGAUGAGUCAUAAUUUUAGCACAUGCUUUCUGAAAGGCAAGCAAAGAUAUACCACAGAAUGAUUUGUUUUGCUCCAUGAGCGAUGUUCACAAGCGCCGCAGGGUUGUCGAAGCGGGUGUCGCCCGAGUAUCGAACAAACUCAAGAGUUUGAGAGGAGUGUGUGUAGCAAGAGCGGAUACUUGAUGACUACAUUUCUGAGUUAGAGAGUUUGAAGAAGUUUGAGGAAACCAAUGGGAUUGUAGAGACUAUAGUCGCGAUUCGGGAGGAUUGGAAGAAAUGAAGAGUUUUUUGGUAUUUAGAGUUGCCUUUGUCGUUGUUAAUCCCCUAUUUUGAAUGUUGCCGUUUUGAAUUGUGUUGUUUCAUUUUUGCCUUCAAUAUAGCCAUAUAUCAUAACAAGGAAAAUUGUAUGAAUAUCUUAUCCAUGUUCAUUGUAAGAGUACAUUUGUAGGGAAUGUAGCUAUGUGAAGAGAUGUAGUGCGAAGUGUAAUGUUGAUUUUA